UUAAAAUUCAAUUGUAAGUCGCUCUGGAUAAGAGCGUCUGCUAAAUGACGUAAA
rfam:Salmo salar isolate Sally breed double haploid chromosome ssa06, whole genome shotgun sequence.